AUUGAACGCUGGCGGCAGGCCUAACACAUGCAAGUCGAACGAGUGGCGGACGGGUGAGUAAUGUCUGGGAAACUGCCUGAUGGAGGGGGAUAACUACUGGAAACGGUAGCUAAUACCGCAUACCAUCAGAUGUGCCCAGAUGGGAUUAGCUAGUAGGUGGGGUAACGGCUCACCAAGGCGAUGAUCAGUAGCCGGUCUGAGAGGAUGAACGGCCAAAUGGGAAGUGUGGCACGGUCCAGACGACUACGGGAGGUCGCAGUGGGGAAUGUUGGACAAUGGGUGAAAUCCUGAUCGAGCCAGGCCUCGGGUGUGAAGAAGGUCUUCGGAUUGUAAAGCACUGUCAGGUGGGAGGCGUUACCAACAGAAUAAGCACCGGCUAACUUCGUGCCAGCCGCCGCGGUAAUUC
rnacentral:rRNA from 1 species